AGCAGGAGCAGCUCAGCACCUCCUCUGUCCGCUGCUCAAACCGAGUCAUGAACACAAAGCUCUGUUUAUUCUUCACGACUGGAUGAGUGCGGAGAUUUGUCUCUGAACAUUUAAAUAUCCUUAAAAUAGAGCUACUUGUGAGGUGUGGCUCACAUUCCUGAGGAAGUAUUUGGAAAUAGGUACAACAGAUGAGUUUGAAGGAACGUCAAAGACAAAUGACAUCCUGUCAUCACAAAGACUGAAUGGAUGCCGAUAAAAACACAUCCAACCAUCUCAGCUCUCUGCCUGACACCUUGUGUGUUCCUGAAGUGGCGCUGGAACAUCUGGCCUGGAUUUAUACAUUGAAAUUCUGGCCGUGGAUUCAAAGAGAAGAUCUUUUCUUUUUUUUUAAUUGAAUCCACUCUGAAGCUUGUCAGACUGAAAUGUCUCUUGGCAAGGAGCUUCAAAUACAUACUCAUGUUGCUUUGUCAUGUGACCUCUUUCACACACUUAGAUAUUUUCUUCUUUGUUCGACUCUCGUGUCAAACGGAUUCUGAUCUUGUUGUGUUGAUCUAUGAAAUGGGAGUUCUUUUUGGAGAAUGGAUCAUGUUGGGGAGAAAUGUCAUCCUUACUGUCU